GCCGCAGCGGUCUCGAGGACCUGUGCCUCCCAAGCGAAAGGUCGCAAGUUCGACUCUUGCGCGCU
rnacentral:tRNA from 1 species